ensembl:lncRNA
GGAUAAAGCAGUCUGGCGACCCUCUCCACUCCCAAUCUCAUUUCUAGGCCGGGUUAGUCCCAGCAACAGCGCUGUUUACAAGAGAGCAUACGACUAUACAGCUGUACAAUCGCCAUCCAUCCUUUUAAGAAUUACACUUUUGUGGAUAUACACCAAUACCAUUCAUCUGGAAAUUUAUAACGUCAACCAAACGGUGAGUUAUGGAUUUGUUAUAACGUAUAAAUGUCCGACAUUUUUCGCUUUCCUCCGGCUUCUCUUUUUUAUUGUGGCUUUGUUCUGAGCGGCAGCCAUUUUUAAUCGCCUUGUCCUGUCUUUCCAUCGCCUUCUUCCGACGCACUCAAAGCCUAUAAACGUAUAAUUUGCAUUGCAUGUACUACACAUAUACCCACAAUUCCAAUAGAAUAUAAAACGGUCAGUUGUCCUGCAAAAACGAUGUAUUAUCGGCCGUCGGGUUUGAUUCGUGGCUCAGUAAAACACCGGAACUUUUAACCCAGUUGCCCUAGUUGUACAACAAGCUGAGGCUGCGUUUACGGUCGAUGCUCAAUCACUCGAUUCUGUAUUUUUCGGGAAACUAAAAAACAAAUGGUACAGCUAUAGGUGUCCAUUGUCUACCUGUCAUUAUAUGUGCCGCUAUAGUUGUGUCCUACGGCAACAGUGACAUGUACACGGAGCUGUUUACAUCGCCCUUCUCUCUCAGUACCGGAGCCUCCACGGAGGCUCGCUGGCGGACAGAACGUCCUAGGGCCUUGUUGAUGUUCGCUCCAAUCAGGAUCUCUGAACGGGUACUGAUCCCAUUAAUCAGUACCCCGGUGGUGGACUCCGGUUCACGUCCGAGGGAGGUCAAGCGGGCUGCUGGGGUGGACAGACUCCCGCAGAACCGAGCUGGACGGCCGACGUUUUUCAUCACAUUGUUUUUUUCUUAUCGCUUUUUAUUUCGAUUUGAGGAUGCUUGUUAAUAAGUUUCCAUGCUGAGGCAAUGAGCCGCAAUGGCGUCCCUCUGAUUUGAACUUGGUGAGCGUCAACCCUUGGUAUUUUUUGGGCUGAAUCAAAACCCC